rnacentral:rRNA from 1 species
UACGUAGGUGACAAGCGUUGUCCGGAUUUACUGGGCGUAAAGAGCGCGCAGGCGGUCGAUCAAGUCGAGUGUGAAAGCCCCCGGCUCAACUGGGGAGGGUCAUUCGAUACUGAUCGACUCGAAGGCAGGAGAGGGUAGUGGAAUUCCCGGUGUAGUGGUGAAAUGCGUAGAUAUCGGGAGGAACACCAGUGGCGAAGGCGGCUCACUGGCCCGGUUACUGACGCUGAGGUGCGAAAGCGUGGGGAGCAACAGG